rnacentral:misc_RNA from 1 species
AAGUCGUAACAAGGUUUCCGUAGGUGAACCUGCGGAAGGAUCAUUCAAAAUAAAAGUGAAAUUCUAUAUGGCACUUUUAAAACAAUCCAUAUUCACCUUGUGUGCAAUGUUUAUAUGGGAAGUUGGUUUAAUUUAUUAACUUCCUGUUUAACUUAAUUACUCUUAUUAUUUUUUUACAAGAAAUCGUCUGAAAAACUAUUAUUGAAUAAACUUAAUUCAAAAAUAUAACUUUCAACAACGGAUCUCUUGGCUCUC